rnacentral:rRNA from 1 species
AUUGAACGUUGGCGGCAGGCCUUAGACAUGCAAGUUGAACGGGUAACAGCAGAGCUUGCUCUGGCUGACGAGUGGCGGACGGGUGAGUAACGCGUAGGAAUCUACCCAGUAGCGGGGGAUAGCCCGGGGAAACCCGGAAUAAUACCGCAUACGCCCCACGGGGGAAAGAGGGCCUCUUCUUGAAAGCUCUCACUAUUGGAGGAGCCUGCGUUGGAUUAGCUAGUUGGUGGGGUAAAGGCCUACCAAGGCGACGAUCCAUAGCUGGUCUGAGAGGACGAUCAGCCACACUGGAACUGAGACACGGUCCAGACUCCUACGGGAGGCAGCAGUCAGGAAUAUUGUGCAAUGGGGGAAACCCUGACACAGCCAUGCCGCGUGUGUGAAGAAGGCCUUAGGGUUGUAAAGCACUUUCAGUAGGGAGGAACUAGCAGCGUUAAUACCGCUGUGAGAUGACGUUACCUACAGAAGAAGAUCCGGCUAACUCCGUGCCAGCAGCCGCGGUAAUACGGAGGGAUCGAACGUUAAUCGGAAUUACUGGGCGUAAAGCGCGCGUAGGUGGUUUGUUAAGUGGGAUGUGAAAGCCCCGGGCUCAACCUGGGAACUGCAUUCCAAACUGACAAACUAGAGUACGAUAGAGGGGGGUAGAAUUCAGAGUGUAGCGGUGAAAUGCGUAGAUAUUCUGAGGAAUACCGGUGGCGAAGGCGGCCCCCUGGUAUUGAUACUGACACUGA